rnacentral:rRNA from 1 species
AGUCGAGCGAACAGACGAGGAGCUUGCUCCUCUGACGUUAGCGGCGGACGGGUGAGUAACACGUGGAUAACCUACCUAUAAGACUGGGAUAACUUCGGGAAACCGGAGCUAAUACCGGAUAACAUGUUGAACCGCAUGGUUCAACAGUGAAAGACGGUCUUGCUGUCACUUAUAGAUGGAUCCGCGCCGCAUUAGCUAGUUGGUAAGGUAACGGCUUACCAAGGCAACGAUGCGUAGCCGACCUGAGAGGGUGAUCGGCCACACUGGAACUGAGACACGGUCCUGACUCCUACGGGAGGCAGCAGUAGGGAAUCUUCCGCAAUGGGCGAAGGCCUGACGGAGCAACGCCGCGUGAGUGAAGAAGGUCUUCGGAUCGUAAAACUCUGUUAUUAGGGAAGAACAAAUGUGUAAGUAACUAUGCACGUCUUAACGGUACCUAAUCAGAAAGCCACGGCUAACUACGUGCCAGCAGCCGCGGUAAUACGUAGGUGGCAAGCGUUAUCCGGAAUUAUUGGGCGUAAAGCGCGCGUAGGCGGUUUUUUAAGUCUGAUGUGAAAGCCCACGGCUCAACCGUGGAGGGUCAUUGGAAACUGGAAAACUUGAGUGCGGAAGAGGAAAGUGGAAUUCCAUGUGUAGCGGUGAAAUGCGCAGAGAUAUGGAGGAACACCAGUGGCGAAGGCGACUUUCUGGUCUGUAACUGACGCUGAUGUGCGAAAGCGUGGGGAUCAAACAGGAUUA